GAUGAAGAACGCAGCGAAAUGCGAUACGUAAUGUGAAUUGCAGAAUUCAGUGAAUCAUCGAAUCUUUGAACGCAUAUUGCGCUCUCUGGUAUUCCGGAGAGCAUGCUUGUUUGAGUAUCAGUAAACACCUCAACUCCCUUUUCUUUUUUGAAAUGGGAGCUGGACUUGAGUGAUCCCAACACUUUUCUCACUGGAAAGUGGCGGGUCACUUGAAAUGCAGGUGCAGCUGGACUUUUCUCUGAGCUAUAAGCAUAUCUAUUUAGUCUGCCUAAAAAACAGAUUAUUACCUUUGCUGCAGCUAACAUAAAGGAGAUGAGUUCUUUUGCUGACUGAUGCAGGAUUCACAGAGACAGCUUUGCGGCUGACUUUGUAAACUCGAUCUCAAAUCAAGUAAGACUACCCGCUGAACUUAAGCAUAUCAAUAAGCGGAGGA
rnacentral:misc_RNA from 1 species